rnacentral:ncRNA from 1 species
CUAGUGUUCCGGUUGUCACGCCAGUGGCAAUGCCGGGUAGCUAUGUUCGGUUGGGAUAACCGCUGAAAGCAUCUAAGCGGGAAACUCGCCUCAAGAUAAGGUCUCCCGGAGUGAAUGCUCCCUAAAGACCCGUGGUAGACCACCACGUUGAUAGGCUGGAGGUGUAAGUGCGGUAACGUAUUGAGCUGACCAGUACUAAUCGGUCGUGCGUCUUGACCCU